AGGAAUCAAGAAUCAUCAGUUCUCAUCCAUUCCAGCUUCCCUGCAGUGAGCACAAGCGGCUGGUACAAAAUGUUUGUGAAACUGAUCAGAAAAGAUGUCCUUGGCGAUCCAUGCCUUUUUGUUAGCAUAAUAAUGGACUGAUAAGAAAUUCA